CAGAAAGAUCACUCUCAGAAGGAUGGCAGUAUCCGUUAGCGAAAUAUGCGAGAACACGAAACUGGCCAGGGAGAUGGCAUUGACCGGUAACUACGAUACCUCUGGUGUCUACUAUCAAGGAGUCGUGCAACAGAUCCACCGUCUGCUGACUGGUAUAGCUGACAACACAAGGAAGGCCAAGUGGCAGACGGCACAACAUCAGAUCGUGCAGGAGUUCGAGAAAGUGAAAGCCACAGCAAAUACUUUGCAGCUAUUUAAGGUUGACGCUCAUGGGGAGAGACUACCAGGUACAACGUGUUUGUCCUUUGAGGAACCUACAAGGGAUCCAGCGCCAUGGUCUUACAAUGGUACAGACGCCUCCUGGAACCAAGGAUCGUCCUUCACCCCCAGAGAUCCAGAUGUCUGGCCUCCAUUAACUCCCAAUGAACAAAAGAACGUGAGACCGGCAAGGAGUCUGCAGCAAUCAAAACAGCAGAACAGGAGCAGUAUAAAGAAAUCCGUGACGAGCGCGCGGAGGACUGAAGCGAACAAAACAAUCGGAAAGAAAGACGAAAGAAAAGGAUCCAGGAAGGACGACGGGAACAAGGAUAAGUCAGAGGUAGAGAAGACGGCGGUGACGGACGCGGAUGCAGAGGAGCGUAAGUUCGAGCCAUCGAGCAACGACCGGGACUUGGUCGAGCUCCUGGAGAGAGACAUCGUGCAGAAGAACCCGAACAUUCAUUGGGACGACAUAGCGGACCUCCACGAGGCGAAACGAUUGCUGGAAGAAGCCGUGGUCCUACCUAUGUGGAUGCCGGAUUUCUUUAAAGGCAUACGUCGCCCUUGGAAAGGGGUGUUGAUGGUGGGCCCGCCAGGUACCGGGAAAACGAUGCUCGCUAAGGCCGUGGCCACGGAAUGCGGUACCACCUUCUUCAACGUCUCUUCUUCCACGUUGACCUCCAAGUACAGGGGAGAGUCCGAGAAGCUCGUCAGACUUCUGUUCGAAAUGGCGAGGUUCUACGCGCCCAGCACGAUAUUCAUCGAUGAGAUCGACUCCCUAUGCUCUCGGAGAGGUUCGGAGUCCGAGCACGAGGCCUCCAGGCGGGUCAAGUCCGAGCUACUCGUCCAGAUGGAUGGAAUCAGCUCAAACAGUGAGGAUCCGAGGAAAGUGGUGAUGGUGUUGGCAGCAACGAACUUCCCCUGGGACAUCGACGAAGCUCUCCGCAGGAGACUGGAGAAACGAAUCUACAUUCCUUUACCGAACCACGAAGGCAGGGAAGCUUUGUUGAGGAUCAAUCUGCGCGAAGUAAAGGUGGAUACAUCCGUAAAUCUCGCCGACAUAGCCAAGAAGCUGGAAGGCUACUCGGGCGCAGACAUCACCAACGUUUGUAGGGACGCGUCGAUGAUGUCGAUGAGAAAGAAGAUCGCGGGCUUGAAACCAGACCAGAUAAGGCAGCUGCCCAAGGAGGAACUGGAUCUACCCGUGUCCGCCGCCGAUUUCGACGAGGCCGUCGAACGGUGCAACAAGAGCGUGUCCCAGGAGGACCUCGAUAAGUACGAGAAGUGGAUGAGCGAAUUCGGUUCUUCCUGAUUUGCCCCACCGUCCGGCAGCAGCUACACUCAAUCUUCAUAACGAAGACGAAAUAUAUAAUCGGACGAUCGCCAACUCUGAUCACGCUAGACGUAUUACAAUUGUCAUUCGAUUAAACGGCUCGAUCCAUCGUACGUUCGCGGCAAUCCUUUCACACUUUUAUAUCGUCGAUAGGAAAAUGGUAAGCCGGUUCAAUCGUCCAGUUCGGGCGCGCAGCCUUCACUCCUCAAUCUACGCGUCUCCUCAUCCACCUUUUUUGAGUCCUUGGGAGCCUUAUAUCGGGCCACAUGAUCGACUCUCACAGUCCUUCCCAGAAUCUGAAAUGGAAGCAGCAAGUACGUAUAUAGAAAUCUUGUCUUCAACUGAAUUUGAUUUCGUACGAAUAUGGAGAACGUUACUUUGACACCGUUGAAAUUGUCGACAGCCAAGACGGUGCUCCUCUGGUCCUCGUAACAAAGAAAUCCAUACCCCUUCUGUUUGCCAGUGUCCUUAUCUCUUAUCAAAUUUAUGUUGACCACCUCUCCAUAUCUGGAAAACCAUCGAAGGCAAAUGGACGUUAUUCAAACGGAGAUUCGCCCCAGGUAUCGUCUCGCUUACUGAGAGAAUAUAGCGAUCACAUCCCCUUCAGUUAAAUCAUAAGGCAGCCCGCCAACGAAGAUCCAAGCACUGUCUUUGUACUGAUCAUGCCACGAACUCUUUGAAUCGUUGGAUAAUUCCUGUUCCCCCAAUUUCUUUAUAUUCUUCACGUUUCUAAACAAUGAGCAACAGGAAGAACAUAAUUUUGUCCGCCCUCCGUUUUGAUUCAUUUACUCACGUCAAAGGGUUCAUUCUGCUGAUUUGCGAGACGGAAGGAACGUUCCCUUUGCAGGAUGUCAAAAGGAAUCAUUCGUUCAUUCAGUUAAUUAGGAGACGCAAUCGGUAUGAUGCAUGUUUGAGGGUUAGAGUUUAAGGAGUGACAUCGAUGUCGAUGUCGAUCACAAUUCACAAUGCGAAUGCACACGCACGUGUAACUGGAGUUUGACUGUUCCUCAACGCGCGGCGCUGGAAUCGAAAUCCACCAAGCAGCCAUUUUGUAAUUUAUGUACGACAAUGGCGACUUGUCUUCGCGGUCAGAGUCUUUAUAAUAAAAUAAAGGAGCGGUAUUUACUGUUA